ensembl:lncRNA LOHAN2 lncRNA oncogene in head and neck cancer 2
GACAAACUAGAGAGAACUGCAAGGACUCAGUACAUCCCUGGCACAGUCCAUUCUCUCUCACAGCAUAUUGUAUGAGACUGUGUGAGUGCUGCUUCCACGCUACACUAAAAACCCAUGGUCCCUGCAUUAUUUGAGCAACUGACAAGCUUCUGAAGUUCAGGUUCGCGAACGCUGAGAGCAGCACCCAGUGGAUUUGUGGCAGAUUUUUGAUGAACCAAGCUGGCUGGUGUCGCCUCAGUUUGUCUAAAUUACCAAGGACCGCUGGAAUUUCCCUGGGAAUAUGUUUCGGGAAAGGUCAGAAACUCUUCAGUCGUCUUCACGCUUCCACUCAGUAGCAACGUUUUUGCACACUCAUUGACUAUCAACUGGUUGUCUAUGACUCAAAUUACAUAAUGAAUCCAGCACAUAAAUUAUUUACUCAGAUUUAAUGCCAGCAACUGUUAUCUUUGUAUUUUUUUCCCCUCUGCCAGCUAAUCUGGCUCAUUUCAUUGGAAUUUUGGUCAUGCCCAUUCUCCUUCUGCACUAAAUUAACUCCAUAACGUAGUAUAAACAGAACAAGCUUGUGUGUGAUAUGCUUAACUGUUAAUUUACCUAAUUAAACUAAUUCAAUUAAAUCAUUUACAUCUUUUUGGUAACAUGCCAGUUGAUACCACAGCAGAAGUGGGAUGUUUCAGAAGAUGAUUGUUCAGCAAAUGAAUGGAAAAAAAAAUAAAAGGAAAACAAAAUGAGACAACCGUCCAAAUCUCUUGGCUUGAA